rnacentral:rRNA from 1 species
GUCGAGCGCACUCUUCGGAGUGAGCGGCGGACGGGUUAGUAACGCGUGGGAACGUACCCAGAUCUACGGAAUAGCCUCGGGAAACUGAGAGUAAUACCGUAUACGCCCUUCGGGGGAAAGAUUUAUCGGAUUUGGAUCGGCCCGCGUUAGAUUAGAUAGUUGGUGAGGUAACGGCUCACCAAGUCUACGAUCUAUAGCUGGUUUUAGAGGAUGAUCAGCAACACUGGGACUGAGACACGGCCCAGACUCCUACGGGAGGCAGCAGUGGGGAAUCUUGGACAAUGGGCGCAAGCCUGAUCCAGCCAUGCCGCGUGAGUGAUGAAGGCCUUAGGGUCGUAAAGCUCUUUCGCCAGAGAUGAUAAUGACAGUAUCUGGUAAAGAAACCCCGGCUAACUCCGUGCCAGCAGCCGCGGUAAUACGGAGGGGGUUAGCGUUGUUCGGAAUUACUGGGCGUAAAGCGCGCGUAGGCGGACCAGAAAGUUAGGGGUGAAAUCCCGGGGCUCAACCCCGGAACUGCCUCUAAAACUCCUGAUCUAGAGUUCGAGAGAGGUGAGUGGAAUUCCGAGUGUAGAGGUGAAAUUCGUAGAUAUUCGGAGGAACACCAGUGGCGAAGGCGGCUCACUG